AUACUUACCUGGCAGGGGAGAUACCAUGAUCACGAAGGUGGUUUUCCCAGGGCGAGGCUUAUCCAUUGCACUCCGGAUGUGCUGACCCCUGUGAUUUCCCCAAAUGUGGGAAACUCGACUGCAUAAUUUGUGGUAGUGGGGGACUGUGUUUGUGCUUUCCCUUG
rnacentral:snRNA from 1 species